GAUGAACGCUGGCGGCGUGCCUAAUACAUGCAAGUCGAGCGAACAGACGCGGAGCUUGCUCGUUUGACGUUUGCCGAGGGCGGGUGAGUCACACGUGUAUACCCUACUUAAAAGUCUGGGAUCAUUACGGGACACCGGCGCUAAUACCGGAUAAUAUCUUGCACCGUAUGGUUCAAUAGUGAAUGACGGCUUUGCUGUCACUUCUCGCUGGAUCCGGGCCGCAUUAGCUAGUUGGUACGGUAACGGGUUUCCAAGGCAACGAUGCGUAAGCGACCGGAGAGGGUGAUAGGCCACACUGGAGCGUAAACAGGGUCCAGGCGCCUACGAGAGGCAGCAGAAGGGAAUCUUCCGCAGUAGGCGAAAGCUUGACGGAGCAACGCCGCGUGAGUGAUGAAGGUCUUCGGAUCGUAAAGCUCGGUUAUGAGGGAAAAACAGAUGUGGAAGGAACUAUGCACGUCUUGACGGUACCUGAUCAGAAAGCCACGGCUAACUACGUG
rnacentral:rRNA from 1 species